rnacentral:rRNA from 1 species
AUUGAACGCUGGCGGCAGGCUUAACACAUGCAAGUCGAGCGGGGUGAUGGUGCUUGCACUAUCACUUAGCGGCGGACGGGUGAGUAAUGCUUAGGAAUCUGCCUAUUAGUGGGGGACAACAUUUCGAAAGGAAUGCUAAUACCGCAUACGUCCUACGGGAGAAAGCAGGGGAUCUUCGGACCUUGCGCUAAUAGAUGAGCCUAAGUCGGAUUAGCUAGUUGGGGGGGUAAAGGCCUACCAAGGCGACGAUCUGUAGCGGGUCUGAGAGGAUGAUCCGCCACCCUGGGACUGAGACACGGCCCAGACUCCUACGGGAGGCAGCAGUGGGGAAUAUUGGACAAUGGGCGGAAGCCUGAUCUAGCCAUGCCGCGUGUGUGAAGAAGGCCUUAUGGUUGUAAAGCACUUUAAGCGAGGAGGAGGCUACUUUAGUUAAUACCUAGAGAUAGUGGACGUUACUCGCAGAAUAAGCACCGGCUAACUCUGUGCCAGCCGCCGCAGUAAAAC